CGCCUGUGAGAGAUUACACAGAGGUAAGUUAAGUGAAUAAAUUAGCUAGGAGGCGGCGCUGCGGGCCGGCGCCUCCAGCAAGAGUGCGCACUACGCGGUGGCCUACCUUGCUUAUGGGUGGCGCCGGCCCUGCCUGCAGAAGAUUUA